rnacentral:ncRNA from 1 species
AAAACGGCCCUUUUAAGGGCCACCAAUAUUGUUAAAAAAGAAUCA